AUGAUCUUGGCUUCUAAUGCAUUGCUUGGCCUUGCCAUUUUGAUUCUUGUAGCUCAGUUUUCAAGUAUUACACUCUGUGUUCAUGGUGUUUAUUAUGCUUAUGAAAGGGAUGAUUUGGUGAGGCUAAGAGAUUAUCUGAAGUCUCCUACGUUUAGCCUGAGAGCAAAUUGGUCAGGACCGCCUUGUAUUAGCAACAGUAGCAGAUGGGUUGGUCUUUCUUGCUUGAACUCACACGUUGUCCACCUUGUACUUGAUGAAUUGCACUUCACAGGGUCUCUCCCUCCUGGAUUCCUGGAAAAUGUGACUUUCCUGAGUAGACUUAGCUUCAGAGACAACUCCAUCUCCGGUCCCCUUCCUAACCUUACCAAUCUCGUAUACCUGCGAGAUGUGUUGCUCUCUGGUAACCGAUUCUCCGGUCCAAUCCCUCUAGACUAUGUCGACCUGCCGAGAUUGAAGAAUUUAGAGCUGCAUGAGAACAAUUUGAGCGGGCGGAUCCCGCCUUUGAGUCAAUUGACUCUGAUAGGUUUCAACGUCUCAUAUAAUCAUCUAGAGGGCCCUAUUCCACAAACUCGUGUUCUUCAAAAGUUUCGAGUAGUUCCUAUGAUCACAACCCAGGUCUUUGUGGAAGACCCCUGGAGACUCCAUGUGCGGUGGCGCCUCCUCCAUAUAUUCCACCAACGCCAACUCCUUCACUCGUUCCAUUUAUUCCACCACCGGCCCAGCCAAAGAAAGGUCUACGAGCAUGGAUUAUUGCUCUUAUUGCUGCAGCGGCAGUUGUGGUUCCUUUAUUUACUGUGGCCGUUGUCGUGUUCUACUGUAAAAUGGGGUCCGGUAGAAAAGAGCAAGCAAGAGAAGACCACGGAGGUAAGAAUGGAUAAGACACUAAGUCUUGCCAAUUAAUCCUAGAAACUAGCAGCGCAUUCUCAACUGAGCAGACUUCAAUCAAAGAGCAGGAGGAUCCAGAAAGAACAGUGGAACUUGAUAUUUUCAACGGGGAGAGUCAAGCUUUCGACUUGGAUGAUCUACUGAGAGCGUCAGCUGAAGUACUCAGAAGAGGGAAACUCGGUACUACUUAUAAGGCAACACUAGACUCCGGUGCAGUCGUUGCUGUUAAGAGACUCAACAACAUGAACGGGCUGGGCCAGAAAGAAUUCAAACAGCAUAUGCAGAUGCUGGGAAAUUUGAGGCACAAAAACCUUGUCAGGGUCAUAUCCUAUUACUAUUCCAAGGAGGAAAAGCUGGUUGUCUAUGAAUUUGUCUCCGAUGGCAAUUUGUUUGAGCUUUUACAUGAGAACAGAGGACCUGGAAAAGUACCUCUGGCUUGGGACACGAGACUGUCCAUCAUUAAGGACAUAGCCAAGGGCCUGAGUUUCCUGCACCAGUCGUCAUCAUCUCAGAAAGUUCCGCAUGCAAAUCUCAAGUCUUCCAAUGUUCUUAUCUCUCAUAGCAACCAGAACUUUUGCGCUAAGUUAGCAGAUUUCGGGUUCUUUCCAUUACUUUCACCAAGGAAGUCAUUAGAAAAUCUAGCAAUUGGAAGGACGCCUGAAUUUUCCCAGGGAAAGAAGCUUACACACAAAUCUGAUAUCUACUGUUUCGGAAUAAUAAUACUAGAGCUCAUUACCGGUAGAAACCCGGGGGAGACCAUGGUUGACAAUCAGGGAACAGCCAGCGAUCUUUCCGAGUGGGUGAAAAAGACGGUGCAAGGCGAGUGGUCCACCGAUAUAUUAGAUAUAGAAAUAUUUGCUGCCAAGGAAGGGCACGACGACAUGCUCAAGCUCACAGAGAUAGCUCUGGAGUGUACGGACUUAGUACCAGAAAGAAGACCCGAGGCGAGCGAACUUCUUAGAAGAAUAGAAGAGAUCGAGAUAGGGAACCAAGAUAACAACUGAAGAACCCAUGACCGUUUCAAGGAAAGGACUUCAAGUUGUGCCGCUCCAGCUGCACAUGGAACCAACUCUUAACUCAUUCUUUCAACGCAGAUCAUGCGCAUUCAGUUUUACUCAACAGGCAUCCCCUAUGAUAUUGAUUGCAGAUACCGCACGAAAGCGCUUCGACCCCAUGGUGCAUCUUUUGAC